GGGGGUUAAAUUAAUUAAUUUUAUUUAAUAAAAAAAUUUUUAAUAGUUUUUAUAUAAGUUUAAGUAUUUUUUAGGGGAAAAAUUUUAAAUUUUAUAGUGUAUUAGUAUUGUAAAAUAAUUUUUAAAUAAGUGAAAAUUAAAUUUAAUUAAAAGUAAUUUUUAUUUAGUGUAUCUUGUGUAUCAGAGUUUAUUAAUUAAUAUUUUAAGGGAAAAAUUUCUCGAAUUAAAAAGAGUUAUUUGAUUAUAAAAUUUAUUAUAGCAUAAAUAUUUUUAAUAAUUAAAUUGAAAUGAAAUGUUAAUCGUUUUUUAAGAUAUCUAGUUUUUUUAGAAAAAAAUUUAAUUUUAAAUUUUAAAAAUUAUUUAAUUUUUUUUUUAAUUUUUUAUUUUAAUAUUUUAAUAUUUUAAGGGAUAAGCUUUAAAAUAAAUUUUUAUAAAAAUUAUUAUAUUUUUUAAUAAUUUUAUAAUUUAUAUUGUUUAAUAAAUUUUAGUUUAUUAUAAAUAAUUUUAAUUAAAGAAAAAUUUAAUUUUUUUUUAAUUUUUUAUAAAAAUAAUAAGUUUAAAUUAAUUAUAUUUAGUUAUAAUGAUAAAAUUAGUAUAUUAUUUAUAAUUAGAUUUUAUUUAUGUUUAAUUUAUUUUUAAGGAAUUCGGCAAAUAUUUAUAUUCACCUGUUUAUCAAAAACAUGUCUUUUUGUUAAUAAUUUAAAGUCUAAUCUGCCCACUGAUAAUUUAUUAAAGGGCUGCAGUAUUUUGACUGUACAAAGGUAGCAUAAUCAUUAGUCUCUUAAUUGGUGACUUGUAUGAACGAUUGGAUGAAAUAUAAACUGUCUUAUAUAUUAUUAUAUAGAAUUUAAUUUUUUUAUUAAAAAGUAAAAAUAUUAAUAAAAGACGAGAAGACCCUAUAGAGUUUGAUUGAUUUAAAAUUUAAUGAUUAUAUAUUAGAUAAAAAUUAAAAAUUUUAAUUUAAUUUUGUUGGGGUGAUAAAAAAAUUAAAUAAACUUUUUUUUUAUAUUUUUCAUUGAUAGCUGAAUUUUUGAUCCAUUUUUAUUGAUUAUAAGAAAAAAUUACCUUAGGGAUAACAGCGUAAUUUUUUUUUUUAGUUCAAAUAAAAAAGAAAGUUUGCGACCUCGAUGUUGGAUUAAGAUAAAAUUUAAAUGAAAAAGUUUAAAAUUUUGAUCUGUUCGAUCAUUAAAAUCUUACAUGAUCUGAGUUCAAACCGGUGUAAGCCAGGUUGGUUUCUAUCUUUAUUUUUAUAAAAUAUUUUAGUACGAAAGGAUCAAAUAUUUAAAAUAAUUUUUAUUUAGUUGAAUUUUAUUAAUUUUAUUUUAAAUAUAAUUUUAUUAUUUAAUUAAUUUAAUUAUAUAUAUAUAUAUAUAUAUUAUUUGUAUAAAU
rnacentral:rRNA from 1 species